AAAUUGAAGAGUUUGAUCAUGGCUCAGAUUGAACGCUGGCGGCAGGCCUAACACAUGCAAGUCGAACGGUAACAGGAAGCAGCUUGCUGCUUCGCUGACGAGUGGCGGACGGGUGAGUAAUGUCUGGGAAACUGCCUGAUGGAGGGGGAUAACUACUGGAAACGGUGGCUAAUACCGCAUAACGUCGCAAGACCAAAGAGGGGGACCUUCGGGCCUCUUGCCAUCAGAUGUGCCCAGAUGGGAUUAGCUUGUUGGUGAGGUAACGGCUCACCAAGGCGACGAUCCCUAGCUGGUCUGAGAGGAUGACCAGCCACACUGGAACUGAGACACGGUCCAGACUCCUACGGGAGGCAGCAGUGGGGAAUAUUGCACAAUGGGCGCAAGCCUGAUGCAGCCAUGCCGCGUGUAUGAAGAAGGCCUUCGGGUUGUAAAAGUACUUUCAGCGGGGAGGAAGGUGUUGUGGUUAAUAACCGCAGCAAUUGACGUUACCCGCAGAAGAAGCACCGGCUAACUCCGUGCCAGCAGCCGCGGUAAUACGGAGGGUGCAAGCGUUAAUCGGAAUUACUGGGCGUAAAGCGCACGCAGGCGGUCUGUCAAGUCGGAUGUGAAAUCCCCGGGCUCAACCUGGGAACUGCAUUCGAAACUGGCAGGCUUGAGUCUUGUAGAGGGGGGUAGAAUUCCAGGUGUAGCGGUGAAAUGCGUAGAGAUCUGGAGGAAUACCGGUGGCGAAGGCGGCCCCCUGGACAAAGACUGACGCUCAGGUGCGAAAGCGUGGGGAGCAAACAGGAUUAGAUACCCUGGUAGUCCACGCCGUAAACGAUGUCUACUUGGAGGUUGUGCCCUUGAGGCGUGGCUUCCGGAGCUAACGCGUUAAGUAGACCGCCUGGGGAGUACGGCCGCAAGGUUAAAACUCAAAUGAAUUGACGGGGGCCCGCACAAGCGGUGGAGCAUGUGGUUUAAUUCGAUGCAACGCGAAGAACCUUACCUGGUCUUGACAUCCACGGAAGUUUUCAGAGAUGAGAAUGUGCCUUCGGGAACCGUGAGACAGGUGCUGCAUGGCUGUCGUCAGCUCGUGUUGUGAAAUGUUGGGUUAAGUCCCGCAACGAGCGCAACCCUUAUCCUUUGUUGCCAGCGGUUAGGCCGGGAACUCAAAGGAGACUGCCAGUGAUAAACUGGAGGAAGGUGGGGAUGACGUCAAGUCAUCAUGGCCCUUACGACCAGGGCUACACACGUGCUACAAUGGCGCAUACAAAGAGAAGCGACCUCGCGAGAGCAAGCGGACCUCAUAAAGUGCGUCGUAGUCCGGAUUGGAGUCUGCAACUCGACUCCAUGAAGUCGGAAUCGCUAGUAAUCGUGGAUCAGAAUGCCACGGUGAAUACGUUCCCGGGCCUUGUACACACCGCCCGUCACACCAUGGGAGUGGGUUGCAAAAGAAGUAGGUAGCUUAACCUUCGGGAGGGCGCUUACCACUUUGUGAUUCAUGACUGGGGUGAAGUCGUAACAAGGUAACCGUAGGGGAACCUGCGGUUGGAUCACCUCCUUACCUGAAAGAA
rnacentral:rRNA from 1 species